GNUCACUGCUAUCAGUGUUCGANUAAGCCAUNCAAGUCAAAUGUUCUUCGUGAACAUGGCGGACUGCUCAGUAACACGUGGAUAACCUGCCCUUAGGAUUGGCAUAACACCGGGAAACUGGUGAUAAUACCGAAUAGACCAUUUAUGCUGGAAUGCUUUUUGGUUCAAAGGCUUCGGCUGCCUAAGGAUGGAUCUGCGGCCUAUCAGGUAGUAGUGGGUGUAAUGUACCUACUAGCCUACGACGGGUACGGGUUGUGAGAGCAAGAGCCCGGAGAUGGAUUCUGAGACAUGAAUCCAGGCCCUACGGGGCGCAGCAGGCGCGAAAACUUUACAAUGCGGGAAACCGCGAUAAGGGGACACUGAGUGCCAGCAUAUUAUGUUGGCUGUCCACAUGUAUAAAAACCAUGUGUUAGCAAGGGCCGGGCAAGACCGGUGCCAGCCGCCGCGGUAACACCGGCGGCCCGAGUGGUGAUCACUUUUAUUGGGUCUAAAGGGUCCGUAGCCGGUUUGAUCAGUCUUCUGGGAAAUCUGACAGCUCAACUGUUAGGCUUUCAGGGGAUACUGUUAAACUUGGGACCGGGAGAGGUAAGAGGUACUACAGGGGUAGGAGUGAAAUCUUGUAAUCCCUGUGGGACCACCAGUGGCGAAGGCGUCUUACCAGAACGGGUCCGACGGUGAGGGACGAAAGCUGGGGGCACGAACCGGAUUAGAUACCCGGGUAGUCCCAGCCGUAAACGAUGUUCGCUAGGUGUCAGGGACGGUGCGACCGUUUCUGGUGCCGUAGGGAAGCCGUGAAGCGAACCACCUGGGAAGUACGGCCGCAAGGCUGAAACUUAAAGGAAUUGGCGGG
rnacentral:rRNA from 1 species